rfam:Stegodyphus mimosarum contig8308, whole genome shotgun sequence.
GCCUUCGUGGUGUAGUGGUCAGCACACUCGGCGCGUAUUCGACAGGUCCAUGGUUCGAGUCCCGGCGAGGGCA